CAGGGCCCCACCUGGAAGCAAGGCCAGAAUGCGGAUACGAGCACUUAAGGGGGCCGGCUGCUCCGUCUGCCUCUCCAUGCCGUGGACUCAGCACCAAGUUCCAGGAACAAAACGCACCACAGCAGGAACAGGCAGGCUCUGCUGCUGACUUUUGUCCUUUUUCCUAAAUCGUCUGUUGUCUUCUAACAUGUUAAUGGGUUCAUGAGGUUCCCGCCACGU
rnacentral:lncRNA from 1 species